UGCAGACCCGCGCGUGGAAUGUCGUUUGGAGCUGAAUGUGGACAGAAAGAGAAAUGGCCGGAGAAACUCGGCGGCCGGUUUGGCGGGAUCUGUGAAGUGCCUAUGUGGACCACGAUUUGGAGCUGCUCCCUCCAUCCAAGGAUCCCGAAGCACGAUCUGAGGCAUCACGAACUUUGGCACCUGGGAGGCAACACCCCAAAUAGAGCAGUCUUCAUUGAGCAGUCCUCAUCAGGCAGAUGAAAGAUGAACCAGAAGAAGAGGAGGAAGGUCACGGGAAGAGUUCGCUGUCAUCUCCAUGAGAGAGCAGAAUGCUUUAACAAGAUUAAAACAUUUUGUGCCGUCUGUCUGUUUGUCCUCUGGUAUCAGUCACUGAUACCAAUUGUCACUGUUGUAUACUUUGUUCAUCCAAUUAACUAAUGUGACAUAUCUAAACUGAUGCUUCUUUGCAAACUCAAU